AGCGAACGCUGGCGGCAGGCCUAACACAUGCAAGUCGAACGAACCCUUCGGGGUUAGUGGCGGACGGGUGAGUAACACGUGGGAACGUGCCCUUAGGUUCGGAGUAACUCAGGGAAACUUGUGCUAAUACCGAAUGUGCCCUUCGGGGGAAAGAUUUAUCGCCUUUAGAGCGGCCCGCGUCAGAUUAGCUAGUUGGUGAGGUAAUGGCACCAAGGCUACGAUCAGUAGCUGGUCUGAGAGGAUGACCAGCCACAUUGGGACUGAGACACGGCCCAAACUCCUACGGGAGGCAGCAGUGGGGAAUCUUGCGCAAUGGGCGAAAGCCUGACGCAGCCAUGCCGCGUGGAUGAUGAAGGUCUUAGGAUUGUAAAAUCCUUUCACCGGUGAAGAUAAUGACUGUAGCCGGAGAAGAAGCCCCGGCUAACUUCGUGCCAGCCGCCGCCGUAACAC
rnacentral:rRNA from 1 species